ACCAGUAUUUCACUGGCCAUUCCCAUAUUGGAACUGGCUGAGGAAACUUUUGGAAAAGGGGGCUGGAAGGAAUGCAAGAAUAGAGAAACAGGAUAAAAGCUGGAUUUGAACAGCAUUUGAACAACUGAAAGCUACCAGAAAUAGCCGAAAUUCUACCAUCAUAAACAAAUUGCAGAUGUGCUUUACUAUCUGGCUUUUGUUGGGCCUA